rnacentral:snRNA from 1 species
AUGGCUUCUCGGCCUUUUGGCUAAGAUCAAGUGUAGAAUCAAAUCCUCAUAAAGCCUUUCAUAUUACAGGGCAUUGAUUUGCUUGAUGAUUUUGAACAAUUUAUUCUGAAGCACAAAGUCAGAUCUGGGAAAGAACUAUUGGCUCCAGCAUCUAACAAGGCUAG